GGCUCGUUAGCUCAGUUGGUUAGAGCACCACACUGAUUCUAUCGAAGUGGAGGUCGCAGGUUCAAAUCCUACACGAGCCA